GUAUGCCCACGGGGGGCAGCAGUGAGGAAUAUUGGUCAAUGGUCGGGAGACUGAACCAGCCACGCCGCGUGAGGGAUGAAGGUACAGAGUAUCGUAAACCUCUUUUGUCAGGGAACAAAGGCGGGGACGUGUCCCCGGAUGAGUGUACCUGAAGAAAAAGCAUCGGCUAACUCCGUGCCAGCAGCCGCGGUAAUACGGAGGAUGCGAUCGUUAUCCGGAUUUAUUGGGUUUAAAGGGUGCGCAGGCGGUCUGUUCAGUCAGCGGUCAAAGCCCGGGGCUCAACCCCGGCCCGCCGAU
rnacentral:rRNA from 1 species